rnacentral:rRNA from 1 species
UACGAAGGGUGCAAACGUUGCUCGGAAUUAUUGGGCGUAAAGCGCACGUAGGCGGCUUGGCAAGUCGGAUGUGAAAUCCCUCGGCUCAACCAAGGAAGUGCAUCCGAAACUGCCGAGCUUGAGUACUUAAGAGGAUCGCGGAAUUCCCGGUGUAGAGGUGAAAUUCGUAGAUAUCGGGAGGAACACCAGUGGCGAAGGCGGCGAUCUGGGAAGAUACUGACGCUGAGGUGCGAAAGCGUGGGGAGCAACCAGG